AAAGGUCAUGAUCAUAUAGUUCUAAAUAAUUUGUGGUACAGUAAUUUGGUAUAAUAAAAUAGUCAGGUUAAAUCUGAGAUGAAAGAUAUUGCUGAUAAACCAUCCUUUGGUGUAGUAGCCUAGGAGGGUUUGUUUUUUCACUUUCAUAAGCCAUUGUUUCAGUAAAUAGUUUCUAAAUAUACAUUAUGAGUCACCACCAUAACUACAAAUCUCAUCCUAAGAUGGACACAUAGCCAAUACAGAAGCAUUUUUACGCACACCCAAAACAAUAGCUGGAUUACUUAAUGUAUGCCUAUAAUGUAGUCUAUAAGGAGAUGUCCACUCACUGUUUUGUUGCUCUCAAACUUGAUCUUUUAUACUAAAAGUUGGUAAUUUAUUUAAAAGCCUAAAUAAAGUCUAAUGAGCCAAGCUGCAGAAAAGUCUAUCUAUAAACAAACACACUGUGCAAGAGAAAAGAGGCAGUAUGUAUUGAGGGGAAACAUAAAAUGUGUGAAUUUGGAUGUGAAUUUGCAUCAGACAAACAAGUACAUGCUUGUUAUAAGCUGCUUGUCGUUGGUCGUAAAUCUCAACAUUUAGAUUUUACUAAUUUAGCGGGUGCGUUUACCCAAAACGACCUAUAGGAGCAAUUAAGGUUAAGUGCCUUGCUCAAGGGCACAACAACAGCAUUUUUUACCCUGUCAACUCAGAGACUCAAACCACCAACCGUACAGUCCCAGACCCAACGCUCUUGAGCAUUAAGCUAUCAGCCACCUGAAAUAUUUAUUUCCCUCUCAGCUCAGGGGGCCUGCUGUUAGACAGGUAAAUUACCAACUCCGAAGCCAUGUUAGAAAAUAGGAAAGCACCGGCUUUUACAAUUUUUACGCUAGUGCUGCCUUAACGUCAGUCAGAAAUAUGGCCCUCGAACAUUAAGAAACAGGCAGCUAAAACAGGCCUAGUCUCGCCUCUUCUCCAUUACGCAAACAUUAAUCAUGAUAGAUAUCAAAGCAGGAAAAUAUCUGAAACCAUUCUAUACACUUUUAUUUUGUAUUUUUUUACCAUGCCACUCAUGCGGUGCCAAAAAUAUGGGAGUUCUCCCACGUUGGAUUGUUUCUUAGGAAACAGGAUGCGCGUUCUGAUCCAACCCGAUGACUGUCAAUGACUUGCGUUGAUGUUCUGCAGUCCAGACUCACAGGAAAAGGAACCAAUGGAAUGUUCUUGUUGUCACCAGCCACAUAAGCAUGUGUUUCCUGACCUGCAGGCGGACAUACAGACACUGCCACAGAGGUAGUCUCCUUAUGUGGCCGUGUGGUCUCACAGGACCCCACGCGAACUCAUUGAAUUGUACGUCUGACAUUAUUCACUGCACGUGAGUUACUUUAAGUGAAAAUGGUGAUGAUGAUUCUGUAAGGCCUGGUUGGUGCUACGAGACUUGCUGAUUGGCUGAUUCAUGCCUGUUAUGAAUGGCAUGCGGGCGAAGCCAGGGCUGAAACCCUUCCUAUGCUGACCACAAUCAGUGGAAUUAUGAGAGAGUAUCUCUGCCACUUAUAUUCAUUUCAUUUUUAAGAACGCAAACAAAAGAUCAUGCAAAAUCAGCUGGGUACAGUAGGGAAAAAGGCGGAUGAGGCUGAGAAAAAACAUUCAGCUUUUGCUCCUUUUUCCUCUAUUUUGGUUGUAUUCUUGGAAAACCUUUGUAUGAUAUUGUUUUUUGUUUGCAACAGGGCAAAAAAAUGUAAGCUUUGCAUCAAAUGUAUUGCUAUUCAAGCUUCACAGUACUUUUCAAAGCAACUUGUGUUUUUUUCAGUAAGUGAUGCCUUUCAUUAAGCUAUAGAAUUUGCUGAAGUGUUUGAAUGACUAGGACCUCACAACUCACACAAACUGCACAGUUAACAAUGCACAGACAAUCAGAGUGGACAGAGAGGAAUUCAUAAACAGGAAAUGGCGCAGGGUCUAAUAACUUCCUGGUUCUCAUGUUGACCGGUGACAGGGGUCAGUGCCCCUAGAAUUUGUUGUGACAAUCAGCAUAUUUGAGGUAAAUGGUUUGAGAUGACAACAUUGCAAAAAUCUUGAUCACAUAAUGUGUUGUUUUUUGGAAUGCAAGGUGAUUUGUAGUUACCUGUAGUUGUCUCAGACAUGCACACUGCUGAAUGGUUAGUUUAUCCAGAGAAUGUCACCUUAUUCCACAAGAUACUUAAAGCGCCAGUGUGGUAUUAUCUCUUGUAAGAGUGGUCACUCUUGUAAGUUACUCAGUUAAAAACCAAUAACAAAAUGUUGCACCAAUAGAAAAGAAGCUAUUUUACGCGACUACAGAAGAGAAAAGGAUGUAUAUUUUCAGACUGCAGAUUUUUUUACAGAUAUUGUAUGCAUAUUAGGAACAUUACUAAUGGAAGAAAAAUCACUCAAAAUCAUUGCAAAACCACAAUGAGAAUUUCUUUCAAGAAGUUUUUUUUAGGAUUUGGCAAAACGCCCUUUAUCUACUUACCCUCUGUCAAAGAAAUGUGUAUGUACAUGUCCAGUAGUUUCCUGAGCCAAUUCUAAUUAACAUUAGUAAAAUAUUGUUAAAGGAAGUUGAAGACGGAAGUACAGACUUCUAGUCAUCGCACUAAUGCUAGUUAACAACUGCGCUUAUGCUAGGAACUUCCUUUACACUAAAUUCUGAGACAUGAAAUUGUAUCCACAAGUUUAUCUGACUUGGGGGAAGCAACAGGCUUCACUGCCAAAAUAAAGUAUCACUUUAAGUAAGAUUAUAAGAACAACAUCGGCAACAUUCACAAGCAAACAGAUCACAGUGUUAGUCUCAUUGUGACAAAAUAUAAAUUGAUUAGUGUAUAAAACUCUAUGUAUACUGUCAGGAAUAAUUUUUUAUGUACUGCAAACGUUUGUCUUAAAUUGUCUUUAAUUGAAUAAAAUUGCAUUUGGCAAAGCAUCAUCAUCAGGUUGAAGGAAUAACGCAGAAGUCUUUCCUUGUGUUUUUGUGUCUUGUCGUUUUUAGUGGACAAAUACCAACAAAUAAUUGUUCAUUAUUUAGUAAACAUUUAUCAAUGAUACGCGGAACUUGGGACAACAAGUCUUUGGCGAUGACGAGGGGUGGUGGAAGGAUAUUGCGUGACGUGUGUGCAGUUGAUCAAGAAUAAAUCUGUGGGUGUAAUGAUGAUGACGUAUUCUACCAAACUGAAAUGUGUUGCUCACAAUGGCCUACUGAAUUGGAUUUGACUUUGGACACAGUGCUUUGAUUUGGGUACCCUGGAAGAAAAGAUGUUGCACAACAAAAUAUGGAGAG
ensembl:lncRNA